rnacentral:rRNA from 1 species
GAUGAACGCUAGCGGCAGGCCUAAUACAUGCAAGUCGAGCGGCAAGUCGAGGAGUAAUCUAAGAACUAGAGCGGCGCACGGGUGCGUAACGCGUAUGCAACCUACCUUAUACUGGGGGAUAGCCCGGAGAAAUCUGGAUUAAUACCCCCAUGGCACAUAUUGAUGGCAUCUGAGAUAUGUUAAAGAUUUAUUGGUAUAAGAUGGGCAUGCGUCUGAUUAGCUAGUUGGCGGUGUAACGGACCACCAAGGCGACGAUCAGUAGGGGUUCUGAGAGGAAGGUCCCCCACACUGGCACUGAGAUACGGGCCAGACUCCUACGGGAGGCAGCAGUAGGGAAUAUUGGGGCAAUGUCGGAAGACUGACCCAGCCAUGCCGCGUGCAGG